UCAUCGGGUAGAGACGUCCUAGAAUGAAG
rnacentral:piRNA from 1 species